CCUACGGGUGGCAGCAGUAGGGAAUCUUCCACAAUGGGCGAAAGCCUGAUGGAGCAACGCCGCGUGGGUGAAGAAGGUCUUCGGAUCGUACAACCCUGUUGUUAGAGAAGAAAGUGCCUGUGAGUAACUGUUCACGUUUCGACGGUAUCUAACCAGAAAGCCACGUCUAACUACGUCCCAGCAGCCGCGGUAAUACGUAGGUGGCAAGCGUUAUCCGGAUUUAUUGGGCGUAACGGGUGCGCAGACGGAAGCGGAAAGUCAGCGGGAAAAUUGCGGGGCUCAACCUCGCCGAGCCGUGGAAACUGCUCGUCUAGAGUGGGCGAGGAGUAUGCGGAAUGCGUGGUGUAGCGGUGAAAUGCAUAGAUAUCACGCAGAACUCCGAUUGCGAAGGCAGCAUACCGGCGCCCAACUGACGCGCAUGCACGAAAGCGUGGGUAUCGAACAGGAUUAGAUACCCGGGUAGUC
rnacentral:rRNA from 1 species